rnacentral:rRNA from 1 species
CGAAAGCGUGGGGAGCGAACAGGAUUAGAUACCUUGGUAGUCCACGCCGUAAACGAUGGAUACUAGCUGUUCGGGAGCAAUCUGAGUGGCUAAGCGAAAGUGAUAAGUAUCCCACCUGGGGAGUACGCACGCAAGUGUGAAACUCAAAGGAAUUGACGGGGGCCCGCACAAGCGGAGGAGCAUGUGGUUUAAUUCGAUGAUACGCGAGGAACCUUACCAGGGCUUAAAUGGGAGACGACAGUUUGGGAAACCAGAUUUUCUUCGGACGUCUUUCAAGGUGCUGCAUGGUUGUCGUCAGCUCGUGCCGUGAGGUGUCAGGUUAAGUCCUAUAACGAGCGCAACCCCUAUUGUUAGUUGCCAGCGGGUCAUGCCGGGAACUCUAACAAGACUGCCGGUGCAAACCGUGAGGAAGGUGGGGAUGACGUCAAAUCAUCACGGCCCUUACGUCCUGGGCUACACACGUGCUACAAUGGACGGUACAGAGAGCAGCCACUGCGCAAGCAGGAGCGAAUCUUCAAAGCCGUUCUCAGUUCGGAUCGGAGUCUGCAACUCGACUCCGUGAAGCUGGAUUCGCUAGUAAUCGCAUAUCAGCCAUGAUGCAGUGAAUACGUUCCCGGGCCUUGUACACACCGCCCGUCAAGCCAUGGAAGCUGGGGGUACCUGAAGUCGGUGACCGCAAGGAGCUGCCUAGGGUAAAACUAGUAACUGGGGCUAAGUCGUAACAAGGUAC